rnacentral:rRNA from 1 species
AUUGAACGCUGGCGGCAUGCCUUACACAUGCAAGUCGAACGGCAGCACGGGUGCUUGCACCUGGUGGCGAGUGGCGAACGGGUGAGUAAUACAUCGGAACGUACCUUAUCGUGGGGGAUAACGCAGCGAAAGCUGUGCUAAUACCGCAUACGCCCUGAGGGGGAAAGCGGGGGAUCGCAAGACCUCGCGCGAUUAGAGCGGCCGAUGCCUGAUUAGCUUGUUGGUGGGGUAAAAGCCCACCAAGGCGACGAUCAGUAGCUGGUCUGAGAGGACGAUCAGCCACACUGGGACUGAGACACGGCCCAGACUCCUACGGGAGGCAGCAGUGGGGAAUUUUGGACAAUGGGGGCAACCCUGAUCCAGCAAUGCCGCGUGAGUGAAGAAGGCCUUCGGGUUGUGAAGCUCUCUUGUCAGGGAAGAAACACCGGCUCUAACACAGUCCGGGAAUGACGGUACCUGAAGAAUAAGCACCGGCUAACUACGUGCCAGCCGCCGCCGUAA